UACGUAGGGUGCAAGCGUUGUCCGGAAUUAUUGGGCGUAAAGAGCUCGUAGGCGGUCUGUCGCGUCUGCUGUGAAAACUCGGGGCUUAACCCCGGGCCUGCAGUGGGUACGGGCAGACUAGAGUGCGGUAGGGGAGACUGGAAUUCCUGGUGUAGCGGUGAAAUGCGCAGAUAUCAGGAGGAACACCGGUGGCGAAGGCGGUUCUCUGGGCAUGUCCUGACGCUGAGGAGCGAAAGUGUGGGGAGCGAACAGG
rnacentral:rRNA from 1 species